UGGGGAAUAUUGGACAAUGGGGGGAACCCUGAUCCAGCGAUGCCGCGUGUGCGAAGAAGGCCUGCGGGUUGUAAAGCACUUUGGUUGGGGAAGAAAGGGGUGUUGUUAAUAGCAGCACCAGUUGACGUUACCCAAGAAACAAGCACCGGCUAACUCUGUGCCAGCAGCCGCGGUAAUACAGAGGGUGCGAGCGUUAAUCGGAAUUACUGGGCGUAAAGGGCGCGUAGGCGGUUAUAUAAGUUAGAUGUGAAAUCCCCGGGCUUAACCUGGGAACGGCAUUUAAUACUGUAUGGCUAGAGUAGAAUAGAGGGAAGUGGAAUUUCCAGUGUAGCGGUGAAAUGCGUAGAUAUUGGAAAGAACACCAGUGGCGAAGGCGGCUUCCUGGAUUCAUACUGACGCUGAGGCGCGAAAGCAUGGGGAGCAAACAG
rnacentral:rRNA from 1 species